rnacentral:rRNA from 1 species
GAUGAACGCUGGCGGCGUGCUUAACACAUGCAAGUCGAACGAUGAAGCUCAGCUUGCUGGGUGGAUUAGUGGCGAACGGGUGAGUAACACGUGAGUAACCUGCCCUUAACUCUGGGAUAAGCCUGGGAAACUAGGUCUAAUACCGGAUAGGAGCGUCCACCGCAUGGUGGGUGUUGGAAAGAUUUAUCGGUUUUGGAUGGACUCGCGGCCUAUCAGCUUGUUGGUGAGUUAAUGGCUCACCAAGGCGACGACGGGUAGCCGGCCUGAGAGGGUGACCGGCCACACUGGGACUGAGACACUGCCCAGACUCCUACGGGAGGCAGCAGUGGGGAAUAUUGCACAAUGGGCGGAAGCCUGAUGCAGCGACGCCGCGUGAGGGAUAACGGCCUUCGGGUUGUAAACCUCUUUCAGUAGGGAAGAAGCGAAAGUGACGGUACCUGCAGAAGAAGCACCGGCUAACUACGUG